AGUGAACGCUGGCGGUAGGCCUAACACAUGCAAGUCGAACGGCAGCACAGUAAGAGCUUGCUCUUAAGGGUGGCGAGUGGCGGACGGGUGAGGAAUACAUCGGAAUCUACUUUUUCGUGGGGGAUAACGUAGGGAAACUUACGCUAAUACCGCAUACGACCUACGGGUGGAAGCAGGGGAUCUUCGGGCCUUGCGCGAUUGAAUGAGCCGAUGUCGGAUUAGCUAGUUGGCGGGGUAAAGGCCCACCAAGGCGACGAUCCGUAGCUGGUCUGAGAGGAUGAUCAGCCACACUGGAACUGAGACACGGUCCAGACUCCUACGGGAGGCAGCAGUGGGGAAUAUUGGACAAUGGGCGCAAGCCUGAUCCAGCCAUACCGCGUGGGUGAAGAAGGCCUUCGGGUUGUAAAGCCCUUUUGUUGGGAAAGAAAAGCAGCAGGUUAAUACCCCGCUGUUCUGACGGUACCCAAAGAAUAAGCACCGGCUAACUUCGUG
rnacentral:rRNA from 1 species